GUGUGUGUGUGUGUGUGACAAUCCCAGUAUAUUUAAAACAUUUAUUGUCCUUCCUUUCAUUUCUGCCACCUGUAGAGCAGCUCUCCCUCCAACACAAGAAGCAGUUUCAGAGCCGUGAUGACAGCGUUGUCCUCGUUCAGAAGCAGAGGAGUGGUUGGGCUCAGAAAAUAUAAAGACCUUGUCUUCAUGAUUACUCUGCUCAGCCUGCUCUGUCCUGCAAGUUCAUGGAUAAGCAAGGAGGAAUUGCAAGAAAUGAAGGAAAAUAUUCAGACGCUACAAGAAGAUGCAGCAAUGAGAAAACUUGCCAACAAGUUGGACAUGGAGCUCCUUUCUUUAGUCCUCAAAGAAACUAAGGAUAUUCUAGACAUUGAGUAUGAAAUUCUUCAUCGGUUAUUUUCAGGUUAUCAAUAUCCCGUUGGAGAAUUAAGCGACAUGAGAAGUUUCCUGGUAAAAAGACAUAAUUUUUUGACAAAAAAGUUCCAAAAUGAAGCCGAACGGGUGAAAAAAUAUGAAGACACACUCGCAAAUAUGGAGACGUUUGUAGCAAACUUAGCAGAGAAGCAUGUUGACUUGUAAAAUGUGUAGCAUGAUUCCAGAAUCUUUAUAUCUAGGAAACCUAAUUACGCAGAAAUAUUAAUCUUCUUUGCUGUUUUUUUUAAAUAAAAUACUUCUGCUGAAAUCAA